rnacentral:rRNA from 2 species
CGACUCUGGUAUUGAUUGGUGCUUGCAUCAUGAUUUACAUUUGAGUGAGUGGCGAACUGGUGAGUAACACGUGGGAAACCUGCCCAGAAGCGGGGGAUAACACCUGGAAACAGAUGCUAAUACCGCAUAACAACUUGGACCGCAUGGUCCGAGUUUGAAAGAUGGCUUCGGCUAUCACUUUUGGAUGGUCCCGCGGCGUAUUAGCUAGAUGGUGGGGUAACGGCUCACCAUGGCAAUGAUACGUAGCCGACCUGAGAGGGUAAUCGGCCACAUUGGGACUGAGACACGGCCCAAACUCCUACGGGAGGCAGCAGUAGGGAAUCUUCCACAAUGGACGAAAGUCUGAUGGAGCAACGCCGCGUGAGUGAAGAAGGGUUUCGGCUCGUAAAACUCUGUUGUUAAAGAAGAACAUAUCUGAGAGUAACUGUUCAGGUAUUGACGGUAUUUAACCAGAAAGCCACGGCUAACUACGUGCCAGCAGCCGCGGUAAUACGUAGGUGGCAAGCGUUGUCCGGAUUUAUUGGGCGUAAAGCGAGCGCAGGCGGUUUUUUAAGUCUGAUGUGAAAGCCUUCGGCUCAACCGAAGAAGUGCAUCGGAAACUGGGAAACUUGAGUGCAGAAGAGGACAGUGGAACUCCAUGUGUAGCGGUGAAAUGCGUAGAUAUAUGGAAGAACACCAGUGGCGAAGGCGGCUGUCUGGUCUGUAACUGACGCUGAGGCUCGAAAGUAUGGGUAGCAAACAGGAUUAGAUACCCUGGUAGUCCAUACCGUAAACGAUGAAUGCUAAGUGUUGGAGGGUUUCCGCCCUUCAGUGCUGCAGCUAACGCAUUAAGCAUUCCGCCUGGGGAGUACGGCCGCAAGGCUGAAACUCAAAGGAAUUGACGGGGGCCCGCACAAGCGGUGGAGCAUGUGGUUUAAUUCGAAGCUACGCGAAGAACCUUACCAGGUCUUGACAUACUAUGCAAAUCUAAGAGAUUAGACGUUCCCUUCGGGGACAUGGAUACAGGUGGUGCAUGGUUGUCGUCAGCUCGUGUCGUGAGAUGUUGGGUUAAGUCCCGCAACGAGCGCAACCCUUAUUAUCAGUUGCCAGCAUUAAGUUGGGCACUCUGGUGAGACUGCCGGUGACAAACCGGAGGAAGGUGGGGAUGACGUCAAAUCAUCAUGCCCCUUAUGACCUGGGCUACACACGUGCUACAAUGGAUGGUACAACGAGUUGCGAACUCGCGAGAGUAAGCUAAUCUCUUAAAGCCAUUCUCAGUUCGGAUUGUAGGCUGCAACUCGCCUACAUGAAGUCGGAAUCGCUAGUAAUCGCGGAUCAGCAUGCCGCGGUGAAUACGUUCCCGGGCCUUGUACACACCGCCCGUCACACCAUGAGAGUUUGUAACACCCAAAGUCGG